AUAAAUUCAAAAAGAACAAUGGUCAUGCAACAAUAACCAUAACCAUACAAACAAAAGCUUUAAUGAGCAUUACAAACAUACAACCAAAACCAUAUUCAUUUGGGAAACAACAGAACCUGCUACAUCAAUACUAACCUGUAAUGCUCAAAUCUGGGACGACUGCGAUGUGGAAGUGUUGGAAAAAUGUUACCUGUAAUGAGAAAAGUGCUCGGAUCAACCUUUUUUUUUUGGGGAAAAUAUUUAUGCUAUAGCUAAAUAUAGUAUAUCAAAGCACAGAACAACCAUACACCAAUCAUCAUCCAUGAGCCAUAUUUUAAAUAUGAUAUCGAUCAAAACAGUAUCUAGAUAGUUUAUUAAAUCCCCUUGCCUACCAAUCAUCAAUACUUACAAUUAUGCAACAAUCACCUUUUAAGUACUUAAAUGGACUGUUAACUUUCUAGAGUAGUCUUACCUUCUGCUCUAUUCCAGGAACUUUGAGAACUUUCUUAUUAACCUCUCUCUUACUGCAAAAACAUAAGAAAAAUAAAACAUUUAGCCACUGGUUAUAGGCUUAUAGCAGAUACUGAUAAGCAGGAACACAAAAAGAGGGAAC
rnacentral:lncRNA from 1 species